rnacentral:rRNA from 1 species
UACAGAGGUCUCGAAGCGUUGUUCGGAUUCAUUGGGCGUAAAGGGUGCGUAGGCGGCGCGGUAAGUCGGGUGUGAAAUCUCGGGGCUUAACUCCGAAACUGCAUUCGAUACUGCCGUGCUUGAGGACUGGAGAGGAGACUGGAAUUUACGGUGUAGCGGUGAAAUGCGUAGAUAUCGUAAGGAAGACCAGUGGACGAAGGCGGGUCUCUGGACAGUUC